GGUCUCAUGGUGUAACGGUUAGCACUCUGGACUCUGAAUCCAGUGAUCUGAGUUCAAUUCUCGGUGAGACCU
rnacentral:tRNA from 1 species